GCUCCCCCUCAGGCCGCCGCCGCCCCACAAUGCACCGAGCCGCCCCUAGGCGAAGGCGCUGACGUCGCCCGCGCCAUCUUGGCCCCGGGCGGGCAGUCAUCGGCUACUGCUGCCCCUUCCCGGACCGGGGCCGCCAUCUUCGGUGAGGGUGAGGCGAGGACGGAGCGAGGGGAGACGGUCCGGGGAGAAGCGAGGGGGAGGGGACGCGGGAGUGGGAGCGGCGGUGCGCUCCCGGCGCGGGGCUGGCCGGGCGGGACGCGAGGCGGACACUCACCGCAGGACGCCUUGCCCGCCGCGGAGUCGCAGUAGCCGCAGUGGUAGCCGGCCUUGAGCCCCUUGUAUUCCACCACCGAGGCCAUGGCCGCCGCCGGCUAGGCGCGCCGGCCACGCCUCCUGGCGCCGGCGACUCAGCGCAGCGCGGGGCCCGCGGCGGGGCGGCGAGCGUGGCGGGAAGGCGAGCGCGGCAGCCGGUGCGUCCCUGGCCGCUGCCCGCGCCUCUUCCGGGGCCGUCCCUGCGGCCGGGACGCGCGGCGCGUCGGCGGGAAGGAAGCCGCGCACCAGCGCCUUCGCCAUCGCGCUCCUCCGACGGCCGCCCGUGACGCGGAGACGGGUCCCGCGGGGCGGUGGGAAGAUUGGCCUGGGCCAGAAUACUCCAGACCCUCAAAUUGCAGUAUGCUCCCAGUCCCCAAGAGAAAAGAAGAUUAAGUCUACGGCCAAGGCUUCACCGAGGAGGGAUCCUGCAGAGGGCAGUGAGAGGACGGGGCGCCCAGUGAAGAGGCUCUAAGUGAGCAUGGGGUGGGCGUGCCAAGCAGGGCUGGCUGCCACCUGAGAUCCGUGCCGGGACCAUGACACAGAGCAGCCGACUUAGACAGUUUUAUACGUCCCUCUGACAAGCGGCUGGGUGACGUCCAUCCUACAGAAGUGAGGAAACAGUCCACGCGUCUCAGCAGGAGAAUAAAACACUCCGUAAACGUACACUGUCUUUUGACUUGUGGUUUGCCAAGCACAGGAGCCCUGCUGUCAGCGACAUCAAGAAAUGCUGGAAGAUGCUUGGGAAUACUUUAUGCUUCCAAAAAGGGACUUUGGCAAAAAGGAAAAGGGAAAGAGAAUACACAGUGAAAAGACAGGUGAUGAUCAAAGAUGGGACUAUCUAGUGUCUGAGAAGGAGCUGGACCAGAUAAAGAAACACAUCCACCGAGCAGAGCGAGCUAGAGGCCUCCGAGACCACAGGUAUCGGCUGCCUCAGAAAAGUCCAUCUGAGAUACUUUCCCCCAAAACAUUCACCCUGGAGCAUGAAAAGACGGAAAACAUCCAGAGAAGACCCAGAGCUAAAACCAAACAGCACCAGCUGGCGUGGUUGCAGGAGCAGAUGCAGAGACACCGAGAGCGCAUGAUCCGAGGGCGAGAACUCGCAGAGCAGAGAAAGCACAAACGAGAUGCUCAGAAACUCGCCGCCCAGGCUCCUCCUCUCCUAAAACCUCAGGUGAGGAAAGAGGAAGUGAAGGAAUUCGAGCAGAUCACAGCCUAUCCCCUCAUACAGCCUCGCUGGGAGGCACCCAUAGAAGUGACUGUUCUGAGGGAAAAGUCCAGAGAGAGCAACGUUAAAAAGCCCCUCCGAAGACAGCUCUUGAGGAUACCACCAUUUUUGAGAAGUCAACUAGAAAAUAAAAUAAAAACUUUCUAGGUUACUGUAUUUCUUGUUUAGGCCAGCAGACUUUCAUAGCUGUUAGUGCAGUAAAAUCCCAUAUCCUAA